GAUGAACGCUGGCGGCGUGCCUAAUACAUGCAAGUCGAGCGAACAGACGAGGAGCUUGCUCCUCUGACGUUAGCGGCGGACGGGUGAGUAACACGUGGAUAACCUACCUAUAAGACUGGGAUAACUUCGGGAAACCGGAGCUAAUACCGGAUAAUAUAUUGAACCGCAUGGUUCAAUAGUGAAAGACGGUUUUGCUGUCACUUAUAGAUGGAUCCGCGCCGCAUUAGCUAGUUGGUAAGGUAACGGCUUACCAAGGCAAGGCUGCGUAGCCGACCUGAGAGGGUGACGGGCAACAGUGGGACGGAGAAACGGUCCAGGGGCCUAGGGGAGGGAGCAGUAGGGAAUCGUCGGCAAUGGGCGAAAGACUGAGGGAGCAACGCGGAGUGAGUGAUGAAGGUCUUCGGAGCGUAAAACUCUGUUAUUAGGGAAGAACAAAUGUGUAAGUAAAUAUGCACGGCUUGACGGUACCUAAUCAGAAAGCCAGGGCUAACUACGUG
rnacentral:rRNA from 1 species